UGAUUAAUGGACACAUUAGUUUUAUAAGCUUUUUGACCCUUUGAUGUCAACUCUUCCUAUUUCUGCGAAGCAGAAAUUCACCAAGCGUUGGAUUGUUCACCCACUAAUAGAGAAUGUGAGCUGGGUUUAGGCCGUAAUGAGACCGGUU
rnacentral:ncRNA from 1 species